UACGUAGGGUGCGAGCGUUAAUCGGAAUUACUGGGCGUAAAGCGUGCGCAGGCGGUUUUGUAAGCCAGGUGUGAAAUCCCCGGGCUCAACCUGGGAAUGGCAUUUGGGACUGCAAGGCUGGAGUGCGGCAGAGGAGACUGGAAUUCCUGGUGUAGCAGUGAAAUGCGCAGAUAUCAGGAGGAACACCGGUGGCGAAGGCGGCACUUUGGGCCGGUAAGC
rnacentral:rRNA from 1 species